CAUUAAAGCGGUACGCGAGCUGGGUUCAGAACGUCGUGAGACAGUUCGGUCCCUAUCUGUCGCGGGCGUAGGAAAUUUGAGAGGGGCUGUCCUUAGUACGAGAGGACCGGGAUGGACGCACCGCUGGUGUACCAGUUGUUCCGCCAGGAGCAUCGCUGGGUAGCCAAGUGCGGGAGGGAUAAGCGCUGAAAGCAUCUAAGCGCGAAGCCCGCCUCAAGAUGAGAUUUCCCAAUUAGUAAGACCCCUUGAAGAACACGAGGUUGAUAGGCUCGGGGUGUAAGCACAGCAAUGUGUGUAGCUGACGAGUACUAAUCGGUCGAGGGCUUAUCCUAA
rnacentral:rRNA from 1 species